rnacentral:rRNA from 1 species
GCGUUAAUUGGAAUUACUGGGCGUAAAGCGCGCGUAGGUGGUUCGUUAAGUUGGCUGUGAAAUCCCCGGGCUCAACCUGGGACCUGCAUUCAAAACUGUCGAGCUAGAGUAUGGUAGAGGGUGGUGGAAUUUCCUGUGUAGCGGUGAAAUGCGUAGAUAUAGGAAGGAACACCAGUGGCGAAGGCGACCACCUGGACUGAUACUGACACUGAGGUGCGAAAGCGUG